rnacentral:rRNA from 1 species
UACGUAGGGACCGAGCGUUGUCCGGAAUCAUUGGGCGUAAAGAGCGUGUAGGCGGCCCUUUAAGUCCUGCGUGAAAUCCUGCGGCUCAACCGCAGACGGUCGUGGGAAACUGGAGGGCUAGAGUGCGGGAGAGGAGAGUGGAAUUCCCGGUGUAGCGGUGAAAUGCGCAGAUAUCAGGAGGAACACCGGUGGCGAAGGCGGAUCUCUGGGCCUUACCUGACGCUGAGGCGCGAAAGCUAGGGGAGCGAACAGG